UCCACAUCUGGGUGCGGUACUCCAGGGCUGAACUUCGGGAGCACAUUAUGUGCAGAUUUGUGGCUUGGACACAUGCUGUGUAAGAACAGUAUGGCCAUAUCCAACUGCCUCCAGGCUCGAGAGAAGAUUUAAAUUUUUGGCCAUUGUGGCCUGGGAAGAAUGCCCGAGGUCUGAACUGAAGCAGUGGAUUUAGCUUUGCAACAAGAAUCCUUUUCCAGGAAUAAUGCUGAUUAAGAGGUCUGAGAUUUCCCCG